GAAGAUUCAGCAGUUCGCUCUCACUAAUUCAGGGCGCGUCGAAGGCACCGCGACGGUGGGAGUCACUAUACGGAUAUCAGGCCAGUUGCAUUAUUUCUUGCCUGAUAUUUUUAUUUAUUGUUGCAGACUGGGGUAGGAUGCCGAAGAUGUAGAGGUUGUUGCUCCAGUGACGCUGGAGCCCAUUCAAAGGAAGAGAAUAUGCGCGUUUUCCCUCCUAACCAUUUGAGUAGUGUUCUGUGCAAUUUAUGCACAUUUUGAAAAUUUAGUUAUAGACGUCGAAUUUAUCUCCAAUCCUCUAUUGUGCCGUAUCUUCUACAAUCUUUCAUAUUUUAGCAUGAAUUUUUUUAAAUGUGUGUUAGAAAGCUUGUAUAUCAUACAUACAUGUGCUAUUUUCUUUUGAUUAUCUCCUUUCAGACUGUU
rnacentral:lncRNA from 1 species